rnacentral:rRNA from 1 species
CACGUAGGGUGCGAGCGUUGUCCGGAAUUAUUGGGCGUAAAGAGCUCGUAGGCGGUGUGUCACGUCGUUCGUGAAAACCUGCAGCUUAACUGUGGGCGUGCGGUCGAUACGGGCAUCACUGGAGUUCGGCAGGGGAGACUGGAAUUCCUGGUGUAGCGGUGAAAUGCGCAGAUAUCUGGAGGAAUACCGGUGGCGAAGGCGGCAUCCUGGACCAUUACUGACGCUGAGGCGCGAAAGCUAGGGGAGCAAACGGG